AACCUCCGCAAUGUGAGAAAUCGCGACGGGGGGAUCCCAAGUGCCAUUCUUAACGGGAUGGCUUUUCAUUAGUGUAAAGAGCUUUUGGAAUAAGAGCUGGGCAAGACCGGUGCCAGCCGCCGCGGUAACACCGGCAGCUCUAGUGGUAACAAUUUUUAUUGGGCCUAAAGCGUCCGUAGCCGGUUUAAUAAGUCUCUGGUGAAAUCCUGUAGCUUAACUGUGGGAAUUGCUGGAGAUACUAUUAGACUUGAGACCGGGAGAGGUUAGAGGUACUCCCAGGGUAGAGGUGAAAUUCUGUAAUCCUGGGAGGACCGCCUGUUGCGAAGGCGUCUAACUGGAACGGUUCUGACGGUGAGGGACGAAAGUUAGGGGCGCGAACCGGAUUUAGAUACCCGGGUAGUCCUAACUGUAACGAUGCGGACUUGGUGUUGGGGUGGCUUUGAGCUGCUCCAGUGCCGAAGGGAAGCUGUUAAGUCCGCCGCCUGGGAAGUACGGUCGCAAGACUGAACUUAAGGAAUU
rnacentral:rRNA from 1 species